rnacentral:rRNA from 1 species
GACGAACGCUGGCGGCGUGCUUAACACAUGCAAGUCGAACGGAAAGGCCCUGCUUUUGUGGGGUGCUCAAGUGGCGAACGGGUGAGUAACACGUGAGUAACCUGCCCUUGACUUUGGGAUAACUUCAGGAAACUGGGGCUAAUACCGGAUAGGAGCUCCUGCUGCAUGGUGGGGGUUGGAAAGUUUCGGCGGUUGGGGAUGGACUCGCGGCUUAUCAGCUUGUUGGUGGGGUAGUGGCUUACCAAGGCUUUGACGGGUAGCCGGCCUGAGAGGGUGACCGGCCACAUUGGGACUGAGGUACGGCCCAGACUCCUACGGGAGGCAGCAGUGGGGAAUAUUGCACAAUGGGCGGAAGCCUGAUGCAGCAACGCCGCGUGCGGGAUGACGGCCUUCGGGGUGUAAACCGCUUUCGCCUGUGACGAAGCGUGAGUGACGGUAAUGGGUAAAGAAGCACCGGCUAACUACGUG